rnacentral:lncRNA from 1 species
AUAAAGUAGGAAUUACUGUCAAAUUACCAAUCAAAUUGCUAUAUUAAUGAUUAGAGAUUUAGAAUAAAACUCUCCCUUUUACUGUAAGUAGUUAUUUGCCUCACACACCUUUGCCAGGAUUUUUUUCUGCCUCCUAACUUACACACACCCAGGCCUUCUGUCACAUGUCAGCACUCAUACCAUGUAUACACAAGCACACAGGAGCAGCUGUCCACAGGGUCCACUCCAGAUGGUGCGCCCUAGGAAUCCUUAGUCAAAAAGUGCUACAACGGGCUAUUCCUACGGUCAAAUAGGAGAGAAAAGAUAAUUCUAAUCAGCAAUAAUGUUUGCAGAUUUAAAGUAAACAUGCAAUACUUAGAUUGUUUAGCUUGAGAGACUUGUAGGCAUCUUUCCCAAAUUCAGUAAAUCAAAACUGCUCAUUUUGGUAUGGUGCCUCUCAAAGGAAAACCUUAAGAAGAAAUAUUUGAUUAGUAAAUUUGGUUUUCUUUGAUAUGAGAACUAAACUCUUCAUUUGGACAGAGACUCUAGAAACAUCACAAAAUGGCACAAAUAGAUUUUUGCUUUUUCCUUUUGCAUCCUACAAAAUUGAGAGGUUUGAGAACAAUCCGUGGAAAUUGCUUCUCCAAAUGGAUACAUUAAGCUGCAAAUCUUCUCAGGUGUUCAUAUGGUACCUAUCCAUAGAUACUCACAUAGUAAAACCCUAUUUAAUUUUUUUUCUUUUUCCAUAAGUCCAUGACACAUAGUCCAGCCUUCAGGAUAUCACUGAGGCCUCCUGUCUUCUUCAUCCAGGUAGGCACACAAUGGCUUUCCUGAAAGGCUCUGUCUGCCAAGAUAGAUCGAUAUCACUCUAUCACUGUUCUUGCUUUAUCUGUGUGACAUACACUAGUUUAAGAGUUAUUUAUGUCUAUCAUUAAUUUUUUCUUUCUUUUAAAAACUUUUUAUGGAUUCUUUGUGAUUUUCACAUCAUGUACCCCAGUUCCACCACUUAUCUUCCUCUCCUCUCAUAACUGCCAUCUACCCUUGCCACCUCCCCUGAAAACAAACACAC